rnacentral:tRNA from 2 species
GCCCAGGUGUUGAAAUUGGUAGACAAGCUACCUUGAGGUGGUAGUGCCGAAAGGCGUGCUGGUUCAAGUCCAGUCCUGGGCACAA